rnacentral:misc_RNA from 1 species
GUAGGUGAACCUGCGGAAGGAUCAUUAAUAAAAAUACAAUAAUAUUAUUAUUAUAAUUCACCUCGAUGUGCAUUAAAAAAAUAUUUUUUUAUCAAAUCUAUGUCUUAAUAAUAAUUAAAAUAAAAUAUAAUAAUAAAACUUUCAACAACGGAUCUCUUGGCUCUC